GAUGAACGCUAGCUACAGGCUUAACACAUGCAAGUCGAGGGGUAACAAGAGAAAAGCUUGCUUUUCUUGUUGACGACCGGCGCACGGGUGAGUAACGCGUAUCCAACCUGCCUAUAACUAGGGAAUAACCUUGCGAAAGUAAGACUAAUACCCUAUGAUUUCCUUUGAUGACAUCAGAUUAGGAAUAAAGAUUUAUCGGUUAUAGAUGGGGAUGCGUCUGAUUAGCUUGUUGGCGGGGUAACGGCCCACCAAGGCAACGAUCAGUAGGGGUUCUGAGAGGAAGGUCCCCCACAUUGAAACUGGGACACGGUCCAAACUCCUUCGGGAGGCAGCAGUGAGGAAUAUUGGGCAAUGGGCGGAAGCCUGAACCAGCCAAGUAGCGGGCAGGAUGACGGCCCUAUGGGUUGUAAACUGCUUUUAUACAGGAAUAAAGUUAGCCACGUGUGGUUAUUUGUAGGUACUGUAUGAAUAAGGACCGGCUAAUUCCGUGCCAGCAGCCGCCGUAA
rnacentral:rRNA from 1 species